GCAGGAGUCUCUCUCCUUCUAUGGUUGUUUUUCCGCCGCAGACGGUGGAUGAUAGCUUUGUUUUUUCAUUUAUUUUUGUUUUCUGAUGUAUUUGUAUUUUUUUACACUAAUUCUUAUGAUUUUUUGGAGGUAUGAUGUUUUGGAUCGAUGAGAAAGCGGUAGCUCGACUUUGGCUUUUAAGGAGGAUUUUGUUUGGUGUGACGCUGACGACUUGGGAUUGCACCACCAUGUCUGAUGGUUCACACUAUUGGCGAGUUUGCGGUGUUCCCUUCUUGUAUGUCUGAUGAUUCACACUAUUGGCGAGUUUGCGGUGUUCCAUUCUUGUGUGUGCGUUGAAUUUUCUUAAAGCCGCCUCUAUUCCCAUAUUUUCCGAGAGUUUUGCUGCUUUCAUAUGACGCACGCUUGUUGUUUUUCUGUCCGUUAUCGUUGUGUGAUGGUUCGUUUUGAUUUUGAUUCUUUGGUGUUUGACGGUUCCGACAAAUGGAACGAUGCUUGGAAGUGUGUGCGAAGGGAUUUCUGAAUGCUUUGUUUGCGCUUGUGAAUUACGAAUUUUGGAUAGGGGUUUUCGAAUUUUUAGUGGAUUGGGUUCUGAUUUAGGUUUAUGAUUUAUAGAUGAUUUGUUAAUUACAGAUUUAUCUCUUGAAUAGUUUAUUUUUUCUUUAACCCUCUUAUAUCUUAUACUCAGCCUACAUCAGCAUGGUAAAUGCAAUGUGUUUGCAUUGUUCAAAAAAAAAAAAAAUCAUUGUCAAUAAAGUACCAUAAAUUACAUUAGUUGUCCCAAUCACUUUG
rnacentral:lncRNA from 1 species